AGCAGCCGCGGUAAUUCCAGCUCCAAUAGCGUAUAUUAAAGUUGUUGCAGUUAAAAAGCUCGUAGUUGAAUUUCGGGAUCUGUCCGUUGGUCGGGCCUCACGGUCCGCACUGAUGUGGUGGAUUCCUACCUUCUGAAUAACCGGUAUGCCAUUAAUUUGAUGUGCCGGGGAAGCAGAACCAUUACCUUGAAAAAAUUAGAGUGCUCAAAGCAGGCUUGUGCCUGAAUACAUUAGCAUGGAAUAAUAAAAUAGGACGGCAUGGUUCUAUUUUGUUGGUUUCUAGGGUCACCGUAAUGAUUAAUAGGGAUAGUUGGGGGCAUUAGUAUUCAAUUGUCAGAGGUGAAAUUCUUGGAUUUAUUGAAGACUAACCUCUGCGAAAGCAUUUGCCAAGGAUGUUUUCAUUAAUCAAGAACGAAAGUUAGGGGAUCGAGGACGAUCAGAUACCGUCGUAGUCUUAACCAUAAACUAUGCCGACUAGGGAUCGGACGAUGUUAAUUUUAUAAUGACUCGUUCGGCGCCUUACG
rnacentral:rRNA from 1 species